UAGAAAAUUCCAUUUAACUUUCUCUGAAGAUUAAAUCUUUUCCUACAGUAAUUCUAAUUUUUUUUAUUUUUAAAUUUACGUAUACGAAAAUAAAAGAAUCAGAUUUUAUCUCGUUGAAUCUUGUCUGGUUUAACUAAUUAGUUUGUAUAUUUUUACUUUCGUGCACAGCGAUGACUUUCUUUUAUUACCCAAGGAUAGGAGAAGCGAAUAUUAGAAUUAUCUUCAGACAAUUUAUAAACAAUAUGAUGUCAGUAUCUCCGAAUAAGGAUCUAAGCCAUAAUCAAAAACAAAAGUAUCGCGCUACUGUUAAUUUUAGUUUGAAUUUUUCAAUUAGUAAUUUCGGUUCCGUUCUUAGCAUACAAGAUAUAGAUGACAUGGUGAAUAUUUUAACCAGUAGAAUUGUCUAAUUUUGGCAGGUGAUUGGUAUCUUAACUAAUGGAGAUAAAUAUUCAUACUGUAUUUCGUUAAGAAAUACAGUAUGAGUCAUCAACCAAGGCUAAUGAAUAAUGGGACAUAUGUCAUCGGGCUGGUUGAUAUGAAUUACUCCCUCACUGUCCUGAGUUUCCCUAGUCGUUUGAUGAAACCAGAGACCUUAUGAGUUUAGAGAUGUAGCAAUUUAAUCUUUUUACCGUGUCACGCAGUUGUUGCUGCGCAGGUUUAAUGUAUCCCCGUCUCACAAGAGGGCGACAUAAUAAAUUUAACAAUAAAAAUCAAUAAAAUUGAAAUAUGAACUAAUAUUAAAAUUUACAUAAGGAAUAAUAAUAAUAUUAACUAUCAAAUUUGAUAUAUUUUGCCAUAUUAUUCUCUUUUCUCAAAC
rnacentral:lncRNA from 1 species